CUCAGAUUGAACGCUGGCGGCGUGCCUAACACAUGCAAGUCGAACGAGAACGGAUAUUAGCUUGCUAAUAUUGUCAGCUAAGUGGCGCACGGGUGAGUAAUAUAUAGUUAAUCUGCCCCAAAGAAGAGAGUAAUUGUUGGAAACGACUUGUAAUGCUCUAUAUGCCUUUAUUACAUAAGUAAGCAAGGGAAAUAUUUAUAGCUUUGGGAUGAGACUGUACGGUAUCAGCUUGUUGGUAAGGUAAUGGCUUACCAAGGCUAUGACGCCUAACUGGUUUGAGAGGAUGAUCAGUCACACUGGAACUGAGACACGGUUCCAGACUCCUACGGGAGGCAGCAGUGGGGAAUAUUGCACAAUGGAGGAAACGUCUGAUGCAGCAACGCCGCGUGAGGAUGACACAUUUCGGUGCGUAAACUCCUUUAUAUGAGAAGAUAAUGACGGUAUCAUAUGAAUAAGCACCGG
rnacentral:rRNA from 1 species